ACUCAAAUGAAUUGACGGGGACCCGCACAAGCAGUGGAUCAUGUGGUUUAAUUCGAUGUUACACGAAAAACCUUACCAGCUCUUGACAUCCCUUUGACCGGUACAGAGAUGUACUUUUGGAGCAAUCCACAGAGGAGACAGGUGUUGCACGGCCGUCGUCAGCUCGUGUCGUGAGAUGUUAGGUUAAGUCCUUAAACGAGCGCAACCCUCGUUCUUAUUUGCCAUCGGGUUAUGCCGGGAACUAUAAGAAAACUGCCGGCGACAAGCUGGAGGAAGGUGGGGACGAUGUCAGGUCAUCAUGGCCCUUAUGAGCUGGGCUACACACAUGAUACAAUGGUGGUUACAGCGGGAAGCAAUGGAGCAAUCCUGAGCAAAUCCUUAAAAGCCAUCUCAGUUCAGAUUGAGGGCUGCAACUCGCCCUCAUGAAGUCGGAAUUGCUAGUAAUCGUGGAUCAGCAUGCCACGGUGAAUACGUUCUCGGGUCUUGUACACACCGCCCGU
rnacentral:rRNA from 1 species